GCUGUGCAUAGGUUGCAGCUAUGGCUCAGAUUUGAUCCCUGGCCUGGGAACUUCCAUGUGCUUCAAGUGAGGCAAAACAAAAACAAAAACAAAAACAAAAAAAACCAAAACCCUGCAUCAUCACAGUUUAAGAUGGCUACUAUUAUUACCCCACAGAUGAGCAAAGUGAGGUUUAGCAAGGUUAACUGAUUUUACCAGAGUCCAAAGACAAAAAGAUUAUAGGUGCAGUUGAAGAAAUUAUUCCAGUUAAUACGCAGUUAGAAGUCUUUCAGAUAUGGAUAACAAGGCAUAGCAAUGAUUGCUAUAUAGAUGGUGUAGAGUCGUUGUGAGGAAGAAGGGUGCAGCUGCAUCUGUUAGGGAGGGCAAUCCAGAGUGAAACUGAAAAGGACAUGCCUGGUGCCACCUUUCCUUAUCUAUGCAAUAGUGCCACCUAGAGGUUGAAGGCAGGAUAGUAUGAAGGGGCCACAGAAAAUUCGAGGGUAAAAAUCCACAGGGUUGAUGGGAAAUGAAGAGAGUCAAGCAGAUAUGGUGGAUAUGAGCCAGAAGAGCUGUCAAGGACAGUGCCAGUAAGAGAGUUCCUGCUGAACAAAGGAGCUGAGAACCUUAUUGCCGCAGGAAGGACAGGUCCAUAGUUAAAGAAAGAAAAGAAUAGAUCUUCAGCAGUCAUGAACUGGGGAGACACAAGACAGUGAAGAUGAUUAACCUGUGGAACAUGGCACUCUAAUACCCUAUGUAAGAAUAAAGGAGAGGAGAAAUAGGAGAAGAGGGAGGAAGCCUUGGGAACAUAAGAAAAGUCAUCUAUGCCUUUACACAAUCUGUAAGGCAAGUAACUCAGGAAGGCAAAACAUUCUCUGACAUCAGCCUUACAAAUGUUGUCUCAGGUCAGUCUCCCAAACCAACAGAAAUGAAAGCAAAUAUAAACCAAUGAGACUUCAACUGACAAGCUUUUGCAUGGCAAAGGAAACCAUAAAAAAAAUAAAAAAGGCAACUUACAGAAUGGAAGAAAAUUGUCGCAAACAAUGCAACUGACAAGGGCUUAAUCUUUAAAAUAUACAAACAACUUAUACAACUCAACAGCAAAAAACCAACAACCCAGCUGAAAAAUGGGCAAAAGACCUGAAUAGACAUUUCUCCAAGAGGAUACAUAGAUGGCCAACAAGCACAUGAAAAAAUACUCAACAUCACUGAUUAUUAGAGAAAUGCAAAUCAAAACUAUUAUGAGGUACCACCUCACACCAGUCAGAAUGGCCAUCAUUAAUAAAUCCACAAAUAACAAGUGCUAGAGAGGGUGUGGAGAAAAGGGAACCCUCCUACACUGUUGUUGGGAAUGUCAAUUGGUACAACCACUAUGGAGAACAGUAUGGAGGUACCUUAGAAAACUAUACAUAGAACUACCAGGAGUUCCCGUCGUGGCGCAGUGGUUAACGAAUCCGACUAGGAACCAUGAGGUUGCGGGUUUGGUCCCUGCCCUUGCUCAGUGGGUUAACGAUCCAGCGUUGCCGUGAGCUGUGGUGUAGGUUGCAGACGCGGCUUGGAUCCCGCGUUGCUGUGGCUCUGCCGUCGGCCAGGGGCUAUAGCUCCGAUUCGACCCCUCGCCUGGGAACCUCCAUAUGCCGUGGGAGCGGCCCAAAG
rnacentral:lncRNA from 1 species